GCGCUGAGCUCGAGCUCGAGCUUAACGUCAAUCUCAAAGACUAGCUUGGAGUCGGCUCGAGCCUAGAAACGUUCACUGGAACUCCGCAGUGGUUGACAGCGUACGCCUGAGUUAUAGUAUAUAUGUGCAGCUGAAGCAUUUGCUCUUGGGUAGCUACCCCUCCUCCUUCCUCUAGGUACCACCAUGGCAACUCGUCGCCUGCAAAGCUCUCCCGCUGCCGUAGCUGCUCGAGCCCUUGCUUCCCUCGCGCCUCCUCCUCCUCCUCCUCCUCACGCCUCCACCCGGCGGCCUCCUUCAGGUCGUGCUGCCGUUGGUCAUGGCAUCUCUCCUAUACCUCGCUACACCGGAGGUGGGCGAGGAGGCGGAGGCGUAUGCAGCCUCGCCAGCGGGGAGUGCCCCCGUAGCUGAAAGAUUCAUGCUCAAAAGCUCCGCCCCUGCUACCAAAGGAACAGCCGGCGUGCUCUUCAGGCCGUCAGGCGGAGGCGUUGUCAUCCACGCUAUGAACGUUAGCGUUGCAGCUGUACCUAGCUUCAGCAGAGAGAACCUCCAUAGCUUCUUCAACAAUCAACGCCAGCUAACAACCAUAGCCACCAGCUACAGCUCCAGGCAACGAGAGAGACGAAGGGUAGCAACUUAACAAGCACCUGCCAGUUCGGUUCAUGGCAGCCCCGGAGGGUACGUAGUUCCAUCAGGCGAUGCACAGGCUGAUGCAUACUUCUACCCUGUGCGAGCUGCCAACAAGGUGUCUCACACUUCUGCUAUAACCAUAGAUAUUAGUAGCAAGAACAAGAGUGGACCUUGGAAAUCUCCGCCGCCUUCACCAAUUGACAUUAAGAUGUGAUGAAGGGGAUUGUGAACAUAUGUAAAUAUAUUAUACUAAAAUGUGACUUGAGCUCUGUCGGUUUUAAGGGACGGAUUUUUGAACAUAAUUUAUUGUAAACACUUAGACUAAGACGUGACUUGAGAUAUGUCGGUUUUGGGGGAAGACAUACUAAACAUACUUUAUCAUAAAUAAAUGUAGGGACCCGUUAAUUCACAGUUUCUUUUUCA